AUACUUACCUGGACGGGGUCAAUAGGCGAUCAAUAAGACCCAUGGCCUAGGUUGGUGACCUCCAUUGCACUUUGGAGGGGUGCCAAUCUAAGGUCGGCCCAAGUGGUCGAGCCUACGUCAUAAUUUGUUGCUGUGAGGGCCUGUGUUCGCGCGGCCCCUGC
rnacentral:snRNA from 1 species